GUCUUUUUAGUUUAUAAAUAAAGUCAAACCUGCCCAUUGAAAAUUUUUAAAAGGCUGCGGUAUUUUGACCGUACAAAGGUAGCAUAAUCAUUAGUUUUUUAAUUGAAAACUUGUAUGAAUGGUUUAAUGAAAAAUUAACUUUUUAAAAAAAAAUAUUGAAUUUUACUUUUUAGUUAAAAGGCUAAAAUAAAUUUAAAAGACGAGAAGACCCUAUAGAGUUUUAUAAAUAUAAUUUAUGUAAAUAAUAUAGUUAAUUUUUAAUAAUAUUGAAUUAAUCUAUUUUGUUGGGGUGAUAAUAAAAUUUAAUUAACUUUUAUUUUACAUUAAACAUUAAUAUAUGAAUAAUUGAUCCAUUAAUAUUGAUUAAAAAUUUAAAUUACCUUAGGGAUAACAGCGUAAUUUUUUUUAAAGCUCUUAUUUAUAAAAAAUUUUGCGACCUCGAUGUUGGAUUAAGAAUAAUUUUAGGUGCAGUAGCUUAAAUUUUAAGUCUGUUCGACUUUUAAAAUCUU
rnacentral:rRNA from 1 species